rnacentral:pre_miRNA from 1 species
GAGAAACGGUGACAUGAAGAAUGAGAAGUUGUGUGGUAGCCAAGGAUGACUUGCCUGCGUCUUUAACACCAUAUCAAAGACUUUAUCGAUAGUCUCUGAGUUGGUUAGGCUGUAGGCAGUCUCCUUGGCUAUUCAGACACUCCUCUUUCUCCUCAUUUCACAUUUCUC